GACAAACGCUGGCGGCAUGCCUAACACAUGCAAGUCGAACGGACAGACCAGGGUAGCUUUUCGGGGUGGAACUGGAAAGUUAGUGGCGGGUGGGUGAGUAACGCGUCGACAACCUACCUUGUAAAGGGGAAUAACCUCGAGAAAUCGCAGCUAAUUUCCCCUAAUACCCUUGCUCCGCGUGAGUUCAAGUGGAUAGUUGGCCUUAGCCCUUUCUAUACUAUCAGGGUCCGCGUCUGUUGAGCUAGUUGGUGAGUUAAAGGCUCACCAAGGCGACAAUCAGUAGUUGACCUGGGAGGGUGAUACGCUACAUUGGUACUGAGACACGGCCCAUACUCCUACGGGACGCAGCAGCGGGGAAUCUUCCGCAAUGGGAGAAAGCCUGACGGAGCAAUGCCGUGUGAGUGAUGAAGGCUUUCGGGUUGUAAAACUCUCUCUUUACCGAAGAGAAAGUGUUGUAGUACCUGACAAUACUAGGACGGUAGAUGAGGAGGAAGCCCCGGCUAACUAUGUG
rnacentral:rRNA from 1 species